UACAGAGGGUGCGAGCGUUGUCCGGAAUCACUGGGCGUAAAGGGCGCGUAGGCGGCUUGAUAAGCGUGCGGUGAAAGCCUGGGGCUCAACCCCGGGUCGGCCGUGCGAACUGGGGGGCUGGAGCACUGUAGAGGCAGGCGGAAUUCCGGGUGUAGCGGUGGAAUGCGUAGAGAUCCGGAAGAACACCGGUGGCGAAGGCGGCCUGCUGGGCAGUUGCUGACACUGAGGCGCGACAGCGUGGGGAGCAAACAGG
rnacentral:rRNA from 1 species